UACGUAGGGAGCAGGCGUUGUCCGGAAUCAUUGGGCGUAAAGGGUGCGUAGGCGGCGCGGUAAGUCGGGUGUGAAAUCUUGGAGCUUAACUCCGAAACUGCAUUCGAUACUGCCGUGCUUGAGGACUGGAGAGGAGACUGGAAUUUACGGUGUAGCGGUGAAAUGCGUAGAUAUCGUAAGGAAGACCAGUGGCGAAGGCGGGUCUCUGGACAGUUCCUGACGCUGAGGCACGAAGGCCAGGGGAGCAAACGGG
rnacentral:rRNA from 1 species